rnacentral:rRNA from 1 species
UACGUAGGGUGCAAGCGUUGUCCGGAAUUAUUGGGCGUAAAGAGCUCGUAGGCGGUCAGUCGCGUCUGGUGUGAAAACUCGGGGCUUAACUCCGGGCCUGCAGUGGGUACGGGCUGACUAGAGUGCGGUAGGGGAGACUGGAAUUCCCGGUGUAGCGGUGAAAUGCGCAGAUAUCAGGAGGAACACCGGUGGCGAAGGCGGGUCUCUGGGCCACUACUGACGCUGAGAAGCGAAAGCAUGGGGAGCGAACAGG